AAAUUUGCUGACACAGAAAAUUUGCAAAAUAUCCAGGGUAUUGUCGUGCAUACUUUUCCUUCAAAGGAAUAGGGUCUGAUUCAACGACUAGAGACUUGGUUGUUAUUAAUCAAGAAAAAAGGCCAAUGCUCCUUACUCUGUGGAACGAAUUUGAAGCAAAUAAAGAAGCACAGCUGGCAAACACUAUUGCAAACAACAACAUCAUUAUAGCUAUGAAAGUCAAAGUAAC